GGCCGUGUGGCCCAAUGGCAAGGCGCUUGACUACGACUCCAUCAUCGAAAUCAAGAGAUUCCAGGUUCGACCCCUGGCACGGUCA